rnacentral:lncRNA from 1 species
AUUGAUCGACAAGGAGGAAAGCUUCCCCAAUAACUCCUCUACACUCUCACAAUCCCGUCAAGAGCAGAGGGAAGACCCUCACUCAAACACAGAAGAAAGGGGAAAGCAAAAAGAAAAAGCGAUGAACUACACCAGCGAUAGAUAAAAAAUGAACUACAUCAAAAGCACAAGGAACCUUAUCUCGACGGAAGAGAAAACCCCUGUCGAAAAUCUCUGGUCCCUAAAGGUAAAUCGACACAGCAAUGGCCAGGAACCUUCAAACUGCAUCGGCAUCGAACA